rnacentral:rRNA from 1 species
AUUGAACGCUGGCGGCAGGCCUAACACAUGCAAGUCGAGCGAGCGGCGGACGGGUGAGUAAUGUAUGGGGACUGCCCGAUAGAGGGGGAUAACUACUGGAAACGGUGGCUAAUACCGCAUACUAUCGGAUAACCCAUAUGGGAUUAGCUGGUAGGUGGGGUAAAGGCUCACCUAGGCGACGAUCUCUAGCUGGUCUGAGAGGAUGAUCAGCCACACUGGGAAUGAGAAACGGCCGAGACUCAUACGGAGGCAGAAGGGGGGAAUAUGGCACAAGGGGAGAAAGCCUGAUGCAGCCAUGCCGCGUGUAUGAAGAAGGCUUUAGGGUGGUAAAGUACUUUAAGCGGGGAGGCGUUACCGGAAGAAGAAGCACCGGCUAACUCCGUGCCAGCAGCCGCGGUAAUAC